rnacentral:lncRNA from 1 species
CCGUUGCAUGCUGGGAUUGUAGUUGAUCGCCUGCGAUCAACGGCCGGAAGCGGCUAAAACUACUCCUGCCUGCAUACCCCGCAGGAGCAAACCGCGCCAUGUCUCCCUCCAGGGAUCCGCACCGCUCACAAUCCUGUUUAGUGCUGGGAUUGUAGUCCUGCGAGCCUACGACUAAUAGCUGGGUGCGGAUAAGAGACUACAGCUCCCCCCAUUCCCAGCAAAGGUCCCUCCUCCACCGAGCUCCUCCAGGCUUCCAGUGCAGUUCCGCCGUGCGGAGGGAAGCUUGGCUGUUCACAAACCUCUCCUGCCCGCGAGGAGACAGCUUGGCCAGGGCGGCUGAUCUCACCUUGUCAUUGUGACACGGUGUCUCCCCAACGUGCUGGCUUCAUGACUUGUGCCCAGAGUUUGAUUUUCCACAGACCAGGUAGAGGCCAAGAGCCUCUCACAGACUCUGCAGCAGGGUUGCUAUGAUUAACUCUUAAGUACUCCACAACUACACGCUUUUGAAACUGGCGUUGGCAUAGCGUUAGUUCUGUGCAGGGCGGACGCAGCAGGACAGAAUCUCCCUGGGCAUCUUUUCGGAGCAUCAAUUUUACUGCAAAAUUUUGAAAAAACAAAUUUAAUUGAUUUCCAAGGUUUGUCAAGGAGGACAGAAACUCAGAGCACCCUGCACUUGGGGAUCGGCACUAGGAGCUGCUCUCUGGAUGGGGAGAUGGGAGCUAGCAGCUCACAAUGGGGUCACAAGACAGGAGUGUUAUUGGGAGAAUCCUGUUUUGUUGACAAAUACUGA